rnacentral:rRNA from 1 species
CAUAGGUUAAUGAGGCGAACCGGGGGAACUGAAACAUCUAAGUACCCCGAGGAAAAGAAAUCAACCGAGAUUCCCCCAGUAGCGGCGAGCGAACGGGGAGGAGCCCAGAGCCUGAAUCAGUGUGUGUGUUAGUGGAAGCGUCUGGAAAGGCGCGCGAUACAGGGUGACAGCCCCGUACACAAAAAUGCACAUAUUGUGAGCUCGAUGAGUAGGGCGGGACACGUGGUAUCCUGUCUGAAUAUGGGGGGACCAUCCUCCAAGGCUAAAUACUCCUGACUGACCGAUAGUGAACCAGUACCGUGAGGGAAAGGCGAAAAGAACCCCGGCGAGGGGAGUGAAAAAGAACCUGAAACCGUGUACGUACAAGCAGUGGGAGCCUCUUAAUGGGGUGACUGCGUACCUUUUGUAUAAUGGGUCAGCGACUUAUAUUCUGUAGCAAGGUUAACCGAAUAGGGGAGCCGAAGGGAAACCGAGUCUUAACUGGGCGUUAAGUUGCAGGGUAUAGACCCGAAACCCGGUGAUCUAGCCAUGGGCAGGUUGAAGGUUGGGUAACACUAACUGGAGGACCGAACCGACUAAUGUUGAAAAAUUAGCGGAUGACUUGUGGCUGGGGGUGAAAGGCCAAUCAAACCGGGAGAUAGCUGGUUCUCCCCGAAAGCUAUUUAGGUAGCGCCUCGUGAAUUCAUCUCCGGGGGUAGAGCACUGUUUCGGCAAGGGGGUCAUCCCGACUUACCAACCCGAUGCAAACUGCGAAUACCGGAGAAUGUUAUCACGGGAG